ensembl:snRNA U1 U1 spliceosomal RNA
GAACUCUGGGCGUGGCUCUUUCCUGUUGGUUCAUCCACUGCACUCCGGCUGUGCCGACCCCUGCAAAUUCCCCAAAUGUGGGAAUCUCGACUGCAGAAUUUCUGGAAGUGAAGGAUCGCGUUUGCGUUGUCCCCUG